UACGUAGGGGGGCAAGCGUUGUCCGGAUUUAUUGGGCGUAAAGAGCGUGUAGGCGGCCAUGUAGGUCCGUUGUGAAAACUCGAGGCUCAACCUCGAGACGCCGAUGGAAACCAUGUGGCUAGAGUCCGGAAGAGGAGAGUGGAAUUCCUGGUGUAGCGGUGAAAUGCGCAGAUAUCAGGAAGAACACCCCGUGGCUAAGGCGGCUCUCUAGUACGGUACUGACGCUGAGGCGCGAAAAGCGUGGGGAGCAAACAGG
rnacentral:rRNA from 1 species